UUAACGUGUUCAUAUUUUUUACUAAAUGUUCAUAUUAUAUAGGGUGUGGUGUAGCUAUCCUAAUUGCACCAGGGUGUAGGUAAGACUUAUUACACAAAAUACUAAACAAAGCCCAAACCAAGCCUACACUACAAGAAAAGGUCACAUUUACGACCAACUAUCAUGACCAUAAGUGUUUCUUGUCGCAAGUAAUAAGUAGUAGCGACCAGAUUAUUAAACUGGUCGUAAUAAACAAAAAGUACUUGCGACCAGUAUGAAAACUCUUUGUAAAAAUUAAAAACUCGUCGUAAAAAAUUAGAAUCUUGAUAAUUUCGCUAAAAAUGAAAGCGGGAUUUCUUCCUGAUUUGUAUUGAAAUAACUUUUCACUUAAAAUUUGAAGGAAUAUCUUUUUACAUAGUAUAGAACAAGUCUCAAGAGAGGAAAAAUAAACAGAUCCUCUUUCUCUCUCAACUCAAAUGGCUCCUCCAAUUAUUCCUUUUCUCGGUUUCUCCUUCUACCUUUAGAUCCGACGUACCACCGCUUUUCACUUGUGAAGUGGUGAUGUCCGCCUCUGUCUAUGUAUUUCUACUAUAGAUCUGCUCAUUUUUAAGGGCACUCGAAGCAAUCCAAUUUGCUCACCGAAAAUCUGUCAACUAGUAGGCACUUAGAGAACAACUUUUGAAGGCUCGACAAUACUCAACACGCUCAUUGAGUCCUCUACUUCAAGAUAGAUCAAUACUUUUGACAUCUACUUUUAAUUUUAGUUUGAUGGAUAUAUUUUAAACACUACAGUAUGGAUAAUUGUUGUUUUUGGAUGGUAAAGUAUAUGUACAUCCUUUUUUUUUUUGGAUAUGUGUACUAUGUUUUUUUGAGUUAUAUUGCCUAUAUAUAAUGCCAAUGAGUAAGUUUGAAGUGAUUAUGAA